AGACGGCCGAAGCCGCGCGCUGCGGGGAGCCGCGGAAGAAGCAUUUCUCUUUUCCGUAGGAUCCCGCUCAGCCCGGCGCGACGUGAUUUACGGCCCCAGGCGGCUCUACAGAUAUUAUUUACAGUAUUAAUAUUUCCUCUCUUACACCUUUAAAUCUUUCCGGGCUCAACUUUAGAUGACGCUAUCUUCAUGGUGAAAUGAAACUAUUAAAUUACAUCUCCAUCUAAGAUGAAUGACAACUGUCACAGGAGUGACUCGACAGAGAUGAAGCAGAAAGCGCCUGAGAUUACGCGGGGCUGAUUUAUGAAGAUUGCAUAAAGAUUCCUAUAACCCAGUUUCAUGACUCAGCAUAUCGGAUGGUAAUAAGUUACAGUAGGUAGAAAUUUAUUUCUGCUGGAAGAAGCCAAGGAGAGCUUCUCCCUCCCUUCCCUUCCCCUCCCAGCAACCCUCUCCCGCUAGCCCUGCACGGGCUGAGCCCGCAGACCGCCGGCCACCAGCCCCGCCGGGGAGAGCCUUGCGGCCGGGUGCUUUGCAGUACCGUCCGUUAAACAGGUUGAAACAUUUAUUUGAUGGCACAGAUGCGCGUGGCAUUGCCCUCGUCACACUGAUGUGCCCCGGCUGCCUCACCCGCAGCGCGGUGCUGCGACCGCAGUUCCUGCGGGCGGUGACCGCGCGUUUUACUGCAGGAGCAGAAAAUGAACGCGGGUGGCCCGGAACGGGAGUCAGACCGUUCUGCUGCACAAUGAACGGUGUAUCUCACUGAUGUUUAAGCAGAUGAACGAUGCAGGCGGGCGUCCUUAGCUCCCUAGACUGAAAGUGAAAUCCGGCCCUGAAUGAAGCCAUUUGGAAUCUUGUAGGGGCAUUCCGAAGUUGUUGGCUGCAAGUCAGCCCUGAAAGGGAAUCUCCAGGUUAAGUUCUUUUGUGACUGGGUAAGCCCCGGCAGCUGCUGUGUGGCCGCUCAGGUGCGAAUCCUCCUGAGUGAAAAAGGAGAUGAAAAGGAGGCUAAAUCUUUGGAAGAAGGAAGCAAAACAAACAAAACUACAACAAAACAACUUUUCGAAGUAUGAAAAGGUAGGAGAAGAAGAAAAAGGUGAGCAGAAAUGACGGGAGGAGGAAGAGAAAAACUGGAAGGAGUGAAAAAGGAGAAAAGAAACGUCGUAUGUGGAAUAGGCAAAGACAGGCAGUAAUAGUAGUCAGUAACUGCAUACAGGUGUUUUUUUCACCUACGAACUAAGCGAGACAGCUGAAAAAUGACUCAUAAGACUCAGGUAAUGCAACAGAUCUCAUAAGAGCACAAAUUCACCAGUCUUUCAUGUAAGUAUUUCAUAGUCCUGCUUUUCGGGAAAUGACACAGAUCCCCAUUAUCCAUGACAUUAUGAAACCUAUUGAUGAGGAGCUAAGUAUUAACUAAAUUAAUUUAGUUUUCUGGGUGAAUGCCAUCAACAUAGUGAGGUGCCUGCUGAGCACAAGGGCACAGCCAAGCCUCCAACUAUGCAUCCCUUUGUUUUAGUUUGUUCGUGCCACACUUAGAGGAUGGUUUUAGUUUGUAAUGUUGCUUGUCUCUAUUUUUUUUUCACAAGCAUUUGGUGAGGAUGUUUAUGCAUCACUGGGCUGGCUGUCCAUGGAUUCAUGUGGGAAGGAGAGAUGGUUGUCACUUCCAACAGCUCUAAUACAGACCUGAGCAAUCUCGCUGCAAGCCUUCAGGAAAUCACAUUCACUUGUUCAGUGCGGCUGGGUGCUUCUAAUUUGAUGCUAGCAGUGAUGUCACUGGCUUGGCAUCACUGCUAUUUGCUGAUACCUUUGGAAAUAAGGACCUUUAAGAAUUGUUUAUGAUGAAAAAUUGUAAGAAGAGCCCUUUUACUGUCCUUAGAUGUUUUUGCACAAGCCUCUCAAGUGCAAAAUGUCAUCUGUUUGCAGUGAUCUGUCUGCUGCUGUUUCAAGUCUUUUGAUGAUUCUUUGCACCUACAAAAAGUCAUAUUUGUUAAGAGAGACAUUGACUCCAGGAACAGCUAUGCCUCCACCAUUUCAUUUGGCAUGCCUGAGCAGCUCAACAGAGAGGAUGCAAAUUAAAAAGGUCCUAAUUCUGACAGUGUUGCUUGCAGAACAGAGAUCACUGGUUUCGUGAGUGUCAACAGGUUGAGUGCAUUCAGGGCUUGUCUCCCCCAUAAAAAGAUUCCAAAAAGGUUUCCGUGUAUGGGUAGGAAACUGGGAGGAAAUUGUAUUGCUCCAUUAUGUUCCGUGGCUAAACCAAGAGUGCUUCUUUAUAACACUGUUCUGAAAAAUAAAUGAUUUUCUGUAAUUCAUACUCUGUAAUUCUGUACUGAGCAAAGUAAAUUAAUCAUUUCUUAUUUAAAGUAGCUGGAAAAAAGAAUGCGUCAGUCCGUGGCCACAAAGGAGUAUAGUUCUCCCCUUUCCUCCCGGUUCCUCCGUUAGACCCCAGCCUUUGUGCCGCAGUGAUGUGGUCAUUUGUUUGGGUACCACAGCCCCCAUGGCCACCUCUCUGCAGCAGUGAGCAAGGGCUGGACGCAGCCAGGGGCAGUGCAGCACCAUCUUCUGUUCCAGACACACAGACCUCUCUUCAUGGGACUUCAAACCCUCGUGUUUUUCUCUGUAUCCCAAGAUUAUGUACAGCCUGGGUCUCUGCUGGAUCAGAUCUUCUUUAACUUUUGUAUGUAUCCUCUUUAACUUUUGCUGCUCCAAAAGUAAUGCCUUCUAUUUUAUGAUACUGGACCAUGACAUCAGAGGCAGAUGUUGGUACUAUGGCAGUAGAGGCUGAACCUUCCCCACAAUAUCCUGUUACUUUUGUUGCCAUGAGACAAAUGGCAGCAGAGGGGCAGUCUGACACAAUGGCAACUGAUGUAGAAAUGUGGAUGAAGCGAAGGGGUGCAACUGAAUUCCUCCAUGUGGAAAAAAUGGCACCCACUGACAUUUCAUUGAUGCUUGCUGAACACUUCUGGAGAGCAGGUAGCAAAUGUGAGCACAGUGAGGUGCAUUUCAGCAGUGCUGACAGUGCUGUGAAAGACAAGCGCUGUUCCAGUUGGACAUACACAGCUGUCAUACCACAGAAUGAAGAGUAUCUCAAUCAGCUCGUCUGUGUGAAUUAGGUAAUGGUGUUGACUGUGUUGAAAAAUAGCGUUUUGUAGCUAAAAAUUUGCUAUACUUAAUAAUGUUAUUGUGCUCUUUGUAUCUGUUGUAGCUUCCGUGCAAAUAAAUAGGAGGCAUUACUUUCAGUGCAACCAUCAGACAUAUGUACGUGUUUGUUUGCAGACACUGGGUCAAAUUAGUGGGUUUUUACCCCUUCUUUUUGACUCCCUUAGGUCAUUUUACAGUCCAAACCACAGGGAUAGUUGAGUUCUCCCAGUAGAGAGAGAUCAGCAGGCGGAGUGCUAGAUGACAGAAGUGUGCAUAAAUUUUCCAGACACAGAGAACAAAAUACCAGGAAAUAGCCAGAGGGAGCCAAGCAAAAGAGAGAAAUGUGGCAGCACAUCCCUCGAAGCACUGGCAGUGACUGUGAGACACCUUGCUAGCUGGCUCCUGGUGCUGACUCCCAGCUUUCAUCUACAGCUGUAGGACUAUGGAUGCCCUGACUGCCCUGCAGCCAUUGGUCAGCAGAACAAAUGGUGUACAGCUGCUCCACCUCCAGUGCUUGAGCUGUGACAACCUACACAUGUCAUUUAUGCAAGUGCUCUUCUGUGUCGGUAGCUCCCCAUGCGAAGGUAAGCAUCUGCUGUAGGGAUGGACCCCAGCAGGACUGUGACAGCUAAAACAAAGUGCUCUGUAUGUACUGUACUGUUUCCCAAAGAUAGUUCAGGAAAAAUCCAGUAGGUGGCAUAAAGAAGCCAUGGGUGGUUUUUUUUGCAGUUUUACUUCUUCCAUUCAUUCCUUAUUGUAAACGUGAAGUUUUGUCUGCUGGCUCUUAAAACAACCGUGCAAGCAACGUUUUGUAUUGCAAGCACAGAAUUUUCUUGAUACUUUCUGGAAGUAUAUAUAUUUUUUGUGUCUUUAUUUGUGCUUUGAUACAGGUUAUGACUCUAGUACAGGUCAUAGUACCUGGAGGUGAGGAUUUCUUCUCAGAACAGGCAGAUCCAAACCCAAGCCUUGCACUGAAAUGGCCUGUGUUUGAAAGGGUUUAAAAUCAUCUCCAGCAUUGUCAGCUCAGACACUUCUCUGUUACACUAUGACGUAGGGUUAGCACCAGCAGCAUCACUCAGCAUCACUGGAAUCUGACAGUCCACUAAUCGUUUUUGCUUAAAGUCCAUUCAAGCAAGCAGAGUCUUUUAUUCAGACAUAAGCUUCUGAGAGCUUCAUUCCUCCAUGCUCCAAAAAGUGCUUCAGUGUACCUUCAGCACUUCCCAGUUGCCCAUUUGUGCACCCAGUGAUCAGGUUUUUCCAUGACUAAUGAAGGUCAGAUAUUGCAUUUAUAUUUAUAGGAUAUAGGGCCUUCACAUGCCUUUAACCUGAAUGUGCUGCUGGCCUUCUCUUCAGAAUCCCAUCUCUCUGCGGUCCUGGUCUCUGGCUUUCGCUCAUUUAGUGAACACCUGAAACAGCUUAUGGCACUGCAGCCACUCAGAUCUUUGCUUUUUCUUUUUAACCUUUGUGCAAGCUAGGAGAGGCAUGUGGACUCGGGGUGUCUCAUUCCAUGAGUCAGGAAGGCUGUUGCUCCCUGCUCUGCUCACAGAGCUCAGGUCAGUUCAAAGCACUCAGCUUAUGUUCCCUUCCCUCAGGAAGACCAGGUGUGACAUGUGUCCCAGGGACCCUUUGCAGAGGAGAGCACAGGCCCACUGGUGUGGGAAACAUGGGCACUGAAUGGGGUGUUUCCUUGGCACUGCUUGCCCGACAUUUGUGGUGCAGAAGGAGAUCUCUAUGUCAGCAACUUCAGGGAGGUUCAGAGGAAUGCUGACACAGAGCCUUGGUGUCCUCAUCCCUGGUCCCUGGAGCAGAGAUUCUGGAGAUGUGGGCCCAUCUGUCAUGAACAGUCUUGCAAGGUGCUAUCAGGAUGAAGAUAACCAGAGCACUCAGCUGGCUUCCUCAGGGUGAUUGUAUGCAACACUGAGCUUCACUUCACGUGUAACAGCGUAACUGGAAAAAGACAGUAAAGUCCUUUACAGUCUUGAAAAAGUGUCAGGGAUUUUAUGUAUUCACUGAGGCUUAGAGUUCAAAGGUGAAGACAAUAUCACGCUUUGAUAUACCGAGAGUCAAUCAUCAUCUCAUCUCAACUGGAAAACAAAUGCUUGGGAGGGUGUGUGGGGGGAGUUCAAUUCAAAGCUGGUAUGCAUGGUAAACCCCCUAAUCCUAGCACCUGUGAUAAACGCUAUCCAGCACUAGAAGGUGGAAUUCAACUCAGCUGGCACAGGAGGAUACAAAUGUUUUUGGGAACCUCCCCACUAUUUACUGGGGAAAACUUUGACAUUCACAGUGUCAGGUACUUCAGGUGUCAACCUCCUGGGGACAAGAGGGCCAUCAAAGAGAACAAAUGGUAGAGGAAAUAAUUAUUAUAUAAUGUUUUGGUUGUUUUUUU